AAUCAUUAAAAAAAGAAAAUUAGGAAUUUAUAUUUCCAACACACAAAUUGGAAAUUUAUUUUGGGCCGAUGAUGUUGUUUUAAUAGGUGAAAACGAACAUGACCUUGUGAACUACUCUUAGAUGCAGCUGCAAAGUUCUCAGUACUCUGGAAACUUAAGUUUAAUUUAGAAAAAUCACAAGUAUUAAUUGUUGGCCAAAGAGUAAAUAAGCUGAGAAAAUGGAAAUUAGGUAAUAACCUUAUAAGUGAAACAGAUAAAUACAAAUAUCUCGGUACAAUUAUAUCAAGAAAAAACAAUGAUAAUGAUCAUAUUGAAGAGGUUAU